UACGGGGGGGGCAAGCGUUGUUCGGAAUUACUGGGCGUAAAGGGCUCGUAGGCGGCCAACUAAGUCGGAUGUGAAAUCCCUCAGCUUAACUGGGGAACUGCGUCUGAUACUGGAUGGCUUGGAUUCGGGAGAGGAAUGCGGAAUUCCAGGUGUAGCGGUGAAAUGCGUAGAUAUCUGGAGGAACACCGGUGGCGAAGGCGGCAUCCUGGACCGAGAUUGACGCUGAUGAGCGAAAGCUAGGGGAGCAAACGGG
rnacentral:rRNA from 1 species